rnacentral:rRNA from 1 species
GUCCUGCCUGCCCUGUGAUUCAAUUUAACGGCCGCGGUACCUUAACCGUGCAAAGGUAGCAUAAUCAAUUGUCCCUUAAAUCAGGACUAGUAUGAAUGGCACCACGAGAGUUUAACUGUCUCCCCCCUUUAAUCAAUGAAAUUAUUCUUCCCGUGAAGAAACCGGAAUAAAACUAUAAGACGAAAAGACCCUAUGGAGCUUUAAACUUAUUAUCACUUAUCUUAUGUUACAACAACUUAAAUGAUAAAAAUGCUCUUUAAUAGUUUUUGGUUGGGGCGACCCUGGAGAAAAAUAAAUCCUCCAGAUUGAAAACAAUAACCCUUAUAUAAGAACCACAAUUCUAAUAAACAAAAAUUUGACAAAACUGAUCCAGAAUUAACUGAUCAAUGAACCAAGUUACCCUAGGGAUAACAGCGCAAUCCAUUUUUAGAGCCCAUAUCGACAAAUGGGUUUACGACCUCGAUGUUGGAUCAGGGGAUCCUAGCAGCGCAGCCGUUGCUAAUGGUUCGUUUGUUCAACGAUUAAUACCCUACGUGAUCU